UAUAAUGUUUUGACCAUUCGUCUUAUUUAAAAUUAUUUUACGAUUAAUAUUUUUAUUCUGGCUAGAUGAUAAAACAUGAAUAGUAUUUUAUGCGUGACUAAUUUUUUUAAGUUUUUAUAUAAAAUUACAAAUAUGACGAAUGGUGAAACGUUGGGCACGGAAA
rnacentral:pre_miRNA from 1 species